UACGGGGGGAGCAAGCGUUGUUCGGAUUUACUGGGCGUAAAGGGCGCGUAGGCGGUCAGCACAAGUCAGUUGUGAAAUCUCUGGGCUUAACCCAGAAAGGUCAACUGAUACUGCGGGGCUAGAGUGCAGAAGGGGCAACUGGAAUUCUCGGUGUAGCGGUGAAAUGCGUAGAUAUCGAGAGGAACACCUGCGGCGAAGGCGGGUUGCUGGGCUGACACUGACGCUGAAGCGCGAAAGCUAGGGGAGCGAACGGG
rnacentral:rRNA from 1 species